UACGGAGGGUGCGAGCGUUGUCCGGAAUCACUGGGCGUAAAGGGCGCGUAGGCGGCGCGGAUAGUCGGCGGUGAAAGCCCGGAGCUCAACUCCGGGUCGGCCGUCGAUACUUCCGGGCUUGAGCACUGUAGAGGCAGAUGGAAUUCCGGGUGUAGCGGUGGAAUGCGUAGAGAUCCGGAAGAACACCGGUGGCGAAGGCGGUCUGCUGGGCAGUUGCUGACGCUGAUGCGCGACAGCGUGGGGAGCGAACAGG
rnacentral:rRNA from 1 species